CUUUCCCUUGUUCUAUUUUACAGCUUGUUAAUAGUAAUCAGAAACUUUUGCUCCAAAAUGUUCAAUAUAGGUUUAGAGCUUUAUCUUUAGCCUGAACAAGCAAAUUAUAUCUGGAAUCUAUUAUUUAACUUUUACUUUGCUGCCAGUUUCAUGUGAAUUAGCGAGGAGCUUUUUCUACACUUUUGUGGACACAUAUCAUGAUUGUGAUUUGCCUCCUCGUAUGCUUUUGCAAUUCAUGGACUGCUUCUGGAAAAAUUGUCAUAAUUGAUUGCUUUAAUCUCAUCAUCUGCAGUUUGAAGAGGUUCUUGACCAACCCGAUCCCAGAGAGGACCUUCGCAAGCUUGUUGACCCUAGGCUUGGAGAUAAUUAUCCUUUUGAUUCCGUCUGGAAGGUGAGGGGGUGUCCUGAGAGAAUCAUUCUGCCAUUUAUGUUUUCCUUUCUGGGUAAUUGACAUUAUAACUGCUGAGUUUUCUACGUGCACAGAUGGCCCAGCUUGCGAAAGCUUGCACACAAGAGAAUCCUCAACUGCGCCCCAGCAUGAGAUCUAUUGUGGUGGCCCUGAUGACGCUUUCAUCUUCGACGGAGGAUUGGGAUGUUGGCUCCUACGAGAACCACGCUCUGGUGAAUCUAAUGUCUGGAAGGUAGAAAUCCCCCCUUUUGGCCGGAAUCAGGCAAUCACAUUUUUCGAGCUUUUCCUUCCUAUGUUGUAUGUGUAUAUUAUGUGAGUAAUUAAACCAAAUUCAUAAAUGCUGUCAAUGUCAAGACUAACAAUCAACUACUGAGUUCGAUGGAGAAGUUGUCAAUGUUAAUAAUUGUCGAUAUUCCAAAAUUGAUGUCAAUGACUGUUCGGUGCACAAGUUAAAUGUAAUCUUUAUUGCAGCAUUGCUUUUGAGAAGACUCUCAUAUUUCUAUGUUGUGACCGUUCAUGUUUUUAGGUGUUAUGUGCGACUGUUCAUGUUUUUAGAUGUAAUUAAUAUUUUGUAAGUUCUUAAGAUUUUAUCUCCUUCAAACACUAACUAUAUUUAUGAGUCAUUUAAGGCGUGUUUCGUAACGAUUUGUUCUCGAGAACAAAUUCUGAUAAAAAAAAUAUAUAUAUAUUUUUUAUUUUGUUCCCAGGAACAAUUUUUAAACAUUUUAAGCCAUUUGGUAACCGUUCAAAAUUUCUUAUUUUAGAAUAGAAUUGCGUUUGGUACCGUGCUCAUUAAUUUUGUUCCAAAUCUAUUUCUUUUAAUUUUUAAAUAAUUUUUUUUCUUUUUUCGUUUUUUUUCUUUUCUUUUUUUCCUUUCCCUCUCCCGUUCUUCUUCAUCAAGUGGCCGAUCGCCGGUCUGGCGACCUCACCAGAGUGUUGCUGGCCCUCGACGAGGUUGCCCUCGUCGACCGAGCCUCACUAGUGGCCAGGCAGGCCUUGCCGGUGGCCGGGCUUGCCUCCAGCGAGCUCGCUGGAUCGGUUGCCGGCGACUAGCGGCAGAUGGCAGCGGGCAGCGAGCGGCAGAUGGCGGUAGACGGUAAUCACGGGAUGGUGGUAGAUGAAGAAGAAUAAGAAUAAGAGAAAUAUGAUUUUAAUUCUUAAAUUUGUUCCCGGGAACAAGAAUCAACUUUUUUUAUAUUUUUGAUUAUGUUCCAAAUCUACUUUCAGGAACAAAAAAAAUAGAAAUUUUUUUUCAGGAAUAAAUUUUUUACCGAACAUGAUUCUAUUCCCAAACUGCUCCCAAGAACAAAAAAAUCAGAAUCGAAUACUAUUUGGUUGGUUAUCAAACAGACCCUUAGUGUAACAGUCAUGUGUCAAGCCUAUAAAAGGCGUGUUUUGUAAUUGUUUCCGAUGCGGGCAAUAAGGUGAAAUAAACGAAAAGCCUAUCUAUCUCCUUCUCUUCUUUGUGGGAGUUGUGAGUGUUAUUAAUCAGAGUGUUUAGCCUUCAAAUUAUCCCAUCAAAUUGGUAUAAGAACUGGCCUCUGACAUUCAACAUAUCCAUGUAGUUAGUCAUGGACGAUUUGUAAAUCACUCUCGGGUCUUCUUUUUUUUCCCUAGAAAGAGAAUUCCCGUGGAGUUGUUUCAAUGCGCAUUAGUUUUAUGUACGUUAUAUACUACAAACUAAGACCCUGUCGUGCCACAACAAACAGCAUGAUCGAAUGAUUUAAUAGAAAACCUCCGAAGUAGCCGAAACCCGUGAUCUGCAGUGUCCAUGACAUUGAUUUGCUAUUGCUCAUCUCCAUAAUUUUCCACGUUAGAGGGAUAAAAGAUAAGGGGAAAAAGGAAAAGACAGUGAAGUUCGAUAACUACUGAAUGACCCGGAGAAUGAUCCUUAUUAUUGUCGAUGGCGCUAAUAAUUGUCUUCUCGAUCCAACUUCUUGGACCUCUUAACUGUGCUCAAAAUAUUAUAUGUCGAAGCUAUUCUAUCACGUUUUCAUGAUCAUUUAGAUAAAACUGGUAAAGUGUAAUCCAGUCUUACAUAUGUUGGGUUUUGAGGCUCUUGUUAACACUUGUGUUAUAUCCAAUGUUACUGAUUUCAAUCCUAAAUUUUUUUCAAUAAAAUAAAUAGCUAUAUUUAACGGUUAUACACUUAUUGCACAGCUAUCAUUUCAGUCCUAAAUUUUUCAAUUUUGCUAAUUUAAUUCUAAACCUUUGCACGAAAUUCUAAUAUAGUUAUUUUAGUCAAUUUUCGCUUCCGAAGUAACAAUGUAGUCAUUGCCUUCCGUCCUAUGUACCAUAUUUAACGAUUUCAAAUGAAAAUUGGUCCGAAUGACCGUAUUAAAAAUUUAUGCAAAAAUUUAGGACUAAAUUGCUAAUCAAAAAAUUUAUUACUGAAUUAGCAUAUGUAUAAUAGGUUUAGAAUUGAUUGGGUAAUUUUCCUUAAAUAAAUGUAUUAAGUCUUGUUAAUCUCCUACAAAUCACUAUUUGGUUGGAUUGAUUAACAAGUGCAAGUUGCCACAUCACGUGCCACUCUCCUUGAAAAUUUGGAAUAAUGACAUUACAAAUGUCAUAACUUUUGUACGACACUAAUUUGAUUCUCAUAAUUAUUUUUUUUUUCGAUUAUUUGAGUAUCAUAACUUAUGUACACGUCAAUUGAGUGCUAUAACAUUUUUGCGAUCACUUGUGAAUGCUAUAUAACUUAUCAAUCAAUUACUUGAGUGCCAUAACUUUUAACAAUGUUCAUCACAAGUGCUCAACCACAUCAGAAUUUCGGCACUUGAAUGAAUAUUUUUUAAAAUGUAAUGGCAAUUAAGUGAUUAAUUAUAGUUUAUAACACUCAAACAAACAUCUUUUAGAAGUUAAAGUGCUCAAAUAAUUGAACAAAAAAAGUUAUAUCGCUCAAAUGAGCAUCAUAUGAAAGUUAUAACACUCAUAAUGUUUUCCUAGAAACUUGCUUAUGACAAAAAAUAGACAGUCUUUUUGCCAAAUUAAACGACAAAUUACAUUCCUAGCCGUAGACUUCAGACACUUUUCUUCCGAAUGCAUCAAUUCCAAAUAGUCUUUCGUUUCCUAUCUAUUCUUGACCUUCUUGAAAGAGGGUAGGAGUGUAAAUGAUUCGAUUCAAAUCGGUUUUUUCUGAAAAACCGAAUUGACAAGGAAAUUUAUUAAACUAAACCAAAAGACUAUUAAAAAUUGAUUCGGUUCGGUUCAGUUUUUUGGUGUUUACUUUUGUUUUGUUUCUUUUUCCUCCAUACAUCCCUUUCAAUCAAUUUUUUAUUUUUUAAAAAAUUGAUUUUUUUAGUUAUUUUUUAUUAUUUUUCUUUUCUUUUCUCAUUUUCUUUCUUUUUCCUUUUCUUCUUCUUCUUCAUUGGCCAAUCGCCAGCCACGGUGGCAGUCGGCGAUCAGCCAAAGGCAAGUUGGAGCUUCGCCACAGGCCAAUGAGGCUCCGCCUCACCUGAUGUUGGUGAGCUUGAGCUCGCCAGAUCUUACGAGCUAGGCGAGGCUCGAGCCUCAUUGGAGGUCGCCAAAGCCUCCUUGACGUCUAGUGACCUCCGACGAGGCUCAAGCCCCACCCAGGUGGCCGGAUUUGGCGGGGCUUGAGCUCGCCGGCGUCGGGCGAGCUUGGCCUCUCCACAAGCUAGUGAGGCUCGACUUCACUAGAAUCGGGCGAGCUCAAGCCUCGCCGGCCUAUGGCGAGGCUCCAGCUCGCCUCUGGCCAAUCGCCGGCUACUAGCAUGGUCGACAACUGGCCAAUGAAAAAGAAGAAGAAAAAGAAGGAAAGAAAAGAAAAAAAUCACAAAAAAGAUUUUUUAAAAAUAAAAUAAAAAUAAAAUGAAAAAGAUUUAGAUUUUAUCAAUUUGGAUUGGCUAAUCAAAUUGAUAGAAAUCGAACCAGUUUAAAAAGUUUCGAUUUUUAAUGAAAACCGAACAAAAAAAAAUCGAACUUUUCGGUUCACUUUUGGCAAGGGGUGCUUGCCAUUUGAAAUGAGAUUGUCAUAGAUUACAUGUCGAUUGCCUUUACAUUCUAAUAAAUGAUGGGUGCGUUUGUGAACCACUUUUGGGAAAAGUCUUUAGAAAAAUGCAAAUUGUGUUUGAUAAAUUGUACUUUGAAAGCCAUUUGUGAAUUAUUUUAAGCAAAAUGGCGUUUGGGGAAUUACAUUUACAAAUGAUCUUUGUAGUAAAAAAAAAUUAUCAAAAGAAAUUUUUUUAAAAAUUGACCAGUAAGGGCAGCGACUGCCGGCAACCUCCGGCGACCACGGAUUUGGGGCAGCGAGGUCGCGUGACGCCGCCUCGACCUCCAGCGACCUAGAUCAGGGGCGACGAGGUUGCAGGAGGACCUUGCCGCCCCGGAUCUGGGUCGCGGUGGGGUCGCGUGACCUUAUCACCCUCGAAUCUGGGGCGGCGAGGUCGCGGGAGAUUGCGACACCACCGCAACCCAGAUCUGGGGGUAGCGAGGUCACGCUACCCAGAUCGGGGGCGGCAAGGUCCUCCUGUGACCCUGCCGCCCCAGAUUUGGGUCGCGGCGACCCAGACCUCACCACGACCCAAAUGGUGCGGCGGUCGCGCCACCCUCGGCAUCGGUCGUCUGGGUGACAGUCGCUGGUGACUACUUGCCCUUCGCCAGCGACCGCUCACCGAAGAAAAAGAAGAAGAAGACCGCCUGCCGCCCCAAAUCUGGGUCGCAACGACCCAGACCUCGGUCGCGCCACCCCCCGACAGUUGUCGGCGUCCCUCUAGCAGUCAUCGGCCCCUCACAAUCAGACAGAACCGAACCUCCCCAGAGAAGAUGAACAUUGUUGCAUAAAAAGGCAAGAACCGAAAAAACAAAAAAUUCGUGAGGACAAUUUCGGAAAAAGACAAAAAAUUCGUGAGGACAAUUUCGGAAAAAUAUAUAUAUAUAUAUAUAUAUGAACAGUGCCCACGUGGGCAUGCCGAAAAAGCCGAAAGCCCAAGCACCUGCCUUAGACUUUCAGCUUCACAAAGCUGGCAUUUGGGGAGUGGGGGCUCAAAAUUUUUUGCCAAACGGGCUAGCAUUUGCCCAAGGAUCUUUAGGCCUCUAAAGGGCUUUGGGAAGUGAUUCCCAAAUGCACCCGAUAAAAUAUGUCAUUUCGAGGAUCCUAACAAUUCAAAGGAGAAUACGAUAUACAAUUAAGGACUUGCCAAGUUGAUUGAUCCUUCGUAUAUACCCUUCAGAUUAACCUUUUCUUAAUAUCUACUUCUAUAUUCAAAACUAUCUUUGUUGAAUAGAUCGGCAUGUUUCUUCCUCGAAUUGUAAUGCUCAUUAGCUUUUCUUGUUCACCGGAUAUCUUUGUUAUGUCCCCGUCUUUGAUCCUGAUACGAAAAUAUAUCUUUCCAUUUCAUGAUACGAAAGCAUGCGCACCGUUAUUUUAAGGUUUGUGUGAAAUCACCUUAACUUUCCUUUGGUGAUUCCUUUUUCUUUUGUUUGUUGUUGGAAACUCUUUAAUUAUUCUAUAUCCUAGAGUUGAUCUCUGUUAUGAAGCACCUGAGAGUGUUCAUAUCAUAUCAAACACUCCGAAACAUAUCCUACACUUUUUGACACUCGAUCAACAUGUAUCUGAAAAUUCAAUACUUAGUCAACACUCGAGUCCGAAAUUCCGAUAAGCGAGUUUAGAACGCUAACACAUGAUUCUAAUAUGCACAAUAUUAAUUUUUUUUAAAAAAUCAAUAAACGAAAAAAUAAUAACUUAAGAAAGAAAAAAAAUCUAGUCUUCUCUUUUCUUCUGACUCUCACUUUCCGAAGUGACACAUAAUUUAUCUCCCAAGUUUGUUUUUUUCUCUUCUCUUCCUUCAUGCUUUGACAUGCAAGUUUAAAAUUUGGAUUGCUAGUUUUUUUCAUCCAAGUUUGAUGGACUAUUGGAAUGGAAUUGAACUUGUCAAAUUGAAAUAAUUAAUGAUAUUAAUAAAUGAUGAAUUAAUGUUUUAGUGUAAAUUCAUUUUAGACUCUUUUAUUAUUUAUUUAUUUAUUUAUGAAUUUGAAUCAAAUUAAUUUGAUUCAAACAAUUAUAAAAAAUAAUAAUUUAUCAUGUAUAUAUAAAAAUAUAUAUUUAAUAUAUAAUGAAUCCCAACGUGUCGGAAUUCUCUAUUUUUUGAAAAAUAACAUGUCGACGAGUCGUGUUGUGUCAUAGAUCACGUGUUGAUAUCGGUGUCGGUGCUACUUAGAUUCCCUGUCCUUACAUAUAGGAGAAGGAAAGGUACAUCAUUGAAAUCACCAAACCACUUUCUUCCUUUUAUUUUACUUUUUGCUAAUGACCCAAGGGAAAAUUGCAUUUUGCCCUCAAAGCUUUUGGAAUUAUAGCAAGCCUCUGCAAUCCAAUUUUUACAAAAAAAAUUUUGAUGACUCGGGAACCCCUGUACAACCGGUAGUUGGUGGGGUAAACCUGGGGUGGACUGGGCCGAUCCAGCCGCAGGUGAGUCGCGCAAUGGGAACGCGGGGUUUCGAACCCCUCCCCCCUCGGUUGGGGAGAAAGCUCUAACCACUGCGGCCACCGCAGGUGGUGGUUCAAUUUUUACAAUUUGCCCCUCGAUAUUUUGGAGUAUUGUGGUGAUGUGCUCCCUAACCGUUGACUCCAUCCAAAAUUUUCUCACAUAUUUGAUCGCACGGCUAGUUAUAUAAUGCAACUUGGUCAUAUACAAUGUGCAUGUGUGAGGAAAAAAUUAGGGACUAUUAAAAAAUGCAUUUCAAAAUUGUAUAUCGAUGUACAUCUAGCGUUGACUCCAAUCAAAUUCUCAUUAGAACUUUUAGUCAUAUGCUCUCACACGUAUUAUAUUUCCAAAUUCUCCUUGUACUAUUUUUAUGUGUAUACAUUUAUAUGACGAAUUUCUCUGUUGGUAAUAAGUCACAGAGGUUCGAGCAAAUUUGGGUUAGAGUUGAUGCCGACGGACAUAUUGCAACCAAUUCCCAAAGUCCGUGGGACAUAUUGUGAAGAAGAUUAAAAUGUUGGGAGGCAAUUUGCAACAACCCUUAAAAUUGCCAGGGAGGCCAUCGAGGCAGUCCGGCGAUCUCCUGAAAGUGCGGGAAAAGGUACCUUCAUUCGCUUGUUGCUUCUUCUGCCAUAACAGGUAGCUUCAAGAAAGGAAAGGCAUUGAAGUAUACUCACUCAAUACGAGUCUAAAGAACUCUCAAAUAAAAUCUAGAUCGCUCUUAUGUUUCGUGAGCAAGCAGCCUUUUUGCCCAUUGAACGCAAUGCAUGAACAUUAAAAAAUCGGCUAAAUGUCCAUUUUAACUAAUAAGGUUACUUAACGAAUUUAAAGACCGACACUUCAAAUCUUUGAAUUCGAUUCGAUUUGACCCAAAUGCACACGGAGAAGUUGAAGUUUGCCAGACUAAAAGUUUUUUUUUUUUUUGGAGACUGAAUCCAACAGGUGAAAGGCAAAAACAAAGCCGUAAAAAUUUUACUGGGUCCUCCGACCAAUAUCGACCCGGCGAGGGCAAUAUCGUCAAAUAGCUUCGGCCAAUGAGCGGUCGCGUGUAGACUCGCGCCCUCGGAGCGCGCUUCUCCCCACGCGCCGCCUCUUUCACUGCGGGACGGCCGCCGGCAACCGCGGGAAAUUACCGUUAUGUCGAUUCGGCGCCGACGUAGAACACGACAAAUCCAAAAUUUGUUUAAUGCUCUUAAAGCUGCCAACAAUGGCCGAACCGACGGCCGUCGUCAUCUCUCCCCAGCAAAGCAAGCCCGGUCCUUCCCUCGAAUUCUUAAUUCCGAAAGCGCCCAAAAACCGCCGGUCAACGCCAACGACCGACGACGAAGCAGAAGAAGAAGCAGAAGAAGAAGCAGCCGCAGAGGAAAAGUCAAACUCGCGUUCGACCAUUCAAAGUCCCCCGGAACCGCAGCCUCGUCAUUGGAGAGUUCUUUUUCGGGUCUCUGUUUUCCAACUUCCUCCGGGCCGAUCCGAGCUCCGUCCUCGCCGUUCCCUGCGAUCCAGAUGAAGCCGCGGUUAUGGGCGAUCGGCUUGCUGGCGACGGUGCUGAUCUCGGCCUGCAGCAGAGUCCAAUCGAAGUGCAGCGGCGGCUGCGACUUGGCCCUGGCCUCGUACUACGUCUGGCAGGGCACCAACCUGACGUUCACAUCCCAGGUCCUGUCGGCGUCGAUCGCGAACAUCGUCAGCUACAACAACGGCAGCAUCUCGAACCAGAACAGCGUCCUGUGGGGGAUCAGGAUCAACGUCCCCUUCAGCUGCGGCUGCAUCAACGACUCGUUCCUCGGGCACGAGUUCAAUUACACGGUGAUCCAGGGCGACACCUACGAUAAGGUCGCGACGCAGUACUACUCGAACUUGACGACCGUGGCAUGGUUGCAGGCGUUCAACACUUAUCCCGCGACCAAUAUACCGCUCAACUCCGUUUUGAAAGUGGUUGUUAAUUGUUCGUGCGGGAACAGCACUGUUUCCAAGGAUUAUGGAUUGUUCAUCACGUAUCCGCUGAGGCCGGAGGACACGCUCGAAUCGGUCGCGGCGGGGGUGAAUUUGCCGACUACUUUGCUGCAGAGCUAUAAUCCUGGUGUGAAUUUUAGCCAAGGGAGUGGUCUGGUGUAUAUUCCAGGGAAAGGUGAGUUUGUUUGAAGUUUCCCUUGAGGACAUGCUUAUUUGGUUUCGCUGAUUUUCCAUCCGAGCAAUGAAAUUCUCAGUGACCAGAUGAUUACGAAGGAUUCUUAACGUUUAAAGUGACUGUCUAGACUGGGUUUGGAUGUAUCUCCCCAAGGGUUUGAAUGAAUUUGUGGAUCUCAGUAUCGUUCCAAUUACGUCUGAUGUUUCUGAAGAGACCAAUGAUGUGUGGAUUGUUCUUUGUGAAAUGUGAGAGUUACUUAAGGAAGCUAGCUUGGUUAUUCUGCAUGAAGUGCUGACUCAUCUGUCUAAUCCCAAUGGUGAUUAUUCAACAUAAUAUCGAUCUAAUUGUGUCUAUUAUGACCAGAUUAAUAUGGCAUAUGGAGCAAAGUAGCAGCAGAUGCAAUUGCACUAUUUAGAUGAUGCCAAUCAUUUAGAAGCUAUUAAGCUAUCUUUAACUGAUUAGGCAUUUUGUUUUAGUUCUUGUUGUAGCACGGAUGAGGAGCUUCUUUAUGAUUAGGUUUCUCCAGGUGUUCUAGCCAAACAUGUUUUUUUGGAGUGCAUAAACUCUACAUAGAAUCUGCUAAUGGCCAAUAUAAAAAUAGUCAUGUUUGGGACAUCGCCUAUCAUUCCUUUGUCCCGAUAUCAUAGCAGUGGUGAAGUAUCGGGUUCUAGAAAUCUUGUACCUGGCCUAAGUAUUGAGCUUUAAUUACAUGAUGACAGAAGUUGCAACAGUGGUAUUGAUUUAAAUCUCCCCUUUCUUACAGAUGCAAAUGGAAACUAUCCAGCUCUGAACCCAAGGUAGCUUGUAGUAGUCUGCUCAUCAAAUGGAAGUUGCUUAGUAUUCCAUCCUUGUUUCAGUUGUCUAACUUAUCCUUUUGUUUUUUCCUCUUUCCAGCACAGGUGGGAUGUCCCUCUCCGCAUGUUGAUUUUCUGAUCACAACUUCAUUUCGAUAUCCUAAUGGGUGAUGGCAGGCCAUAAAUAUAUUAGAGGAAUUCGGACUUAUCUUUGACAUUUUCAUAGCAGGACUAUCAGUUGGAGCAAUUGUCGGCAUAUCUAUCGCAGCAAUAGCAGUGUUGUCGUUUUUAGCAUUUUGUAUAUAUGCUGGAAUAUACCGAAAGAAGAAAGCGAAGGAGGCAAUCUUGCUCUCAGGAGCUCAUGAAUUAUCAGAUCGAGCAGGGAAUGGUAGUGUUGUUGCUGAUAUUAAUCCCUUGCUUUUUCAUCUGUUUUAUAUGUCUGAACUAAGGAUUUACUAGUUUGUACGUUCUUUAAUACUGUGACUGGCAAAAGAACUGAUGCCAAAUGAAAAGCACGAGCAGAUAAAAUUUAUGCUUCUAGAUUUAUCCAUUUACUAUCUUGAUGAAAUAAUUCCAAUCUAUGUCUUUGGUUAAAAACAGUGCAUGCACGUUAUGUUGGUCACACUGCAGAUGAGACUUGGUGCUGCUUAAGAUACUUAUUUAGCCAGUGUUCUAGAUAUACUAGAGAAUACUUUGCGUCUCAACAGGGAUAUGUGGUUUCAUAUGUUUUUCUUAUUCAUCAUACCUUCCUUAAUUUUAUUGGUGUCAUGGUGUUCUCUCUUUGGCAAGCAGUUUUAGCUCUUAUCUACAGAAUAAAGAAGAUUUGUUAGUCUCCCUAACUUUCCUAGAGAGUAAAGAGUACCCUGACUGAUAUUUUCCCCAUCUUCUUGGUCUAUUUGCAGGAAGUGACCCAGCAAAACCUUCUGAAUCAACUGGCCCAGCAGCAGGUUUUACAGGAAUCACUGUGGACAAGUCAUUGGUGUUUUCAUAUGAAGAAUUGGCUGAGGCUACGGAAAAUUUUAGCCUGGCUAAUAAAAUUGGGGCAGGUGGCUUUGGAGCUGUCUAUUAUGCUGAAUUGAGAGGCGAGGUUCGUCAAAAAAUAGCUUUUGCACUUAAUGUAUGGCUAAUAUCGUUAGUUAAGGUGGUGUGAGUUCAUGAGAAGCAUGGUAAUGAGGGAAAACUUAUUGAAAUUUAAUCUGGGCAGCGGCGUCAUAUUUGAUUCUACAGACUCCAGAGUUGACUCCAGUCGCUUACAUGCUGCUUAGCUCGCAAUAAUUCUCCAGUAGUAUUCCAUCUGGUUCAAUAAUAGAAAUUAAGAUGAGGGGAUUCUGUAUUCAGUUGAAACCGCUGUUAUGCUCUACCAUGCUGCAAUUACUUGUGGGUACAAUUUCGUAUUAUUACACUCACAGAACUUUCUUCUUGGAAACCAUGCAGAAGGCUGCAAUUAAGAAGAUGGAUAUGCAAGCUUCAAAAGAAUUUAUUGCUGAAUUGCAGGUUCUAACGCGAGUUCAUCACCUUAACCUGGUAAAUCCAUAAUUUCCAGCCCAUAGUAGUUUGUUCUUUAUGAAGGAAACACCUUUCCACGUCAGUCAAUCUUAUGCGUUUCCUACAGUUUAUGUGGGGAUGUAUAAAUUUUGGACCAUGUGUGGCUGUGAUAUUCGUGCACCCAGACGUAGAGCUUUCACGUGCUGUUUGUUCAUGAUUAAUAUUUGGUGCAUCUGUUUCCAUUUCUCUGAAUUUCGAAAUUCAGUGAUGCGUAUCAUCUGGAUAUGUCCACUAUAAAAAUCUGUUGUUGAGAAGCUCCCCUUGUUGCUGCAAAAAUCCUGAACUGCAUCUAAAUUCAUGUCAUUACUCUCUACUAGUUAUCAAAUAAAGACUUAUCUUAAUGGUUGAUUCAGGUGCGUUUGAUUGGAUACUGUGUUGAGGGUUCUCUUUGCGUUGUCUACGAGUAUAUCGAGAAUGGAAACUUAAGCGAACAUUUGCGUCGCUCGGGUGAGAUUGGGCACAUUUUGAGUACAUUAUUUGUUGAGUAUUUUAUAUGUUCUCUGACCAGCGACGAUUUCUACGUUCCAUCGAUUUUCAGAUAAGGAGCCGCUUCCAUGGUCUACCAGGGUUCAGAUUGCCCUGGAUUCUGCAAGAGGUCUUGAAUAUAUCCAUGAGCAUACAGUACCAGCAUAUAUCCAUCGAGACAUUAAAUCGGCAAAUAUAUUGAUAGACAAGGACUUCCAUGGAAAGGUUAUUCUCUGUUGAAUUUUGCACCAGGAUGGACCCUUCAGUUCUUGGACUAACAAGGUAGUGUAUGACAGGUGGCAGAUUUUGGUUUGACAAAGUUGACUGAGGUCGGAAGCACAUCUAUCCCCACACGACUUGUAGGGACAUUUGGAUACAUGCCGCCUGAGUAUGAUUCUCUCUCUUUCUCAAUGUGAUAUCUAUGUAGGAGGGCAUUGACACUGGUCACGCUGACGGGAUAGAAUAAACACAAGCAAUUGUUUAUUCAUUUACAGUGUUAAAGAAAUCCUCUGUUUGGAAGAAGUUAGGAAGCCAAGUUCUUUGUAAUGCAAUUUCUGCCAUCGCUGAUUUGAGAUUGUGAGCAUUUUUGGGAUCGUGAUAGGUAGCAUCCAGGUUUCAAGUUAAAACUAAAGGGGCUAUUCCAAGAGAAACUGUUAUUCAUGAAGUACAAUAUCAUUUGCUGUGCAGAAUCUAAUCAAAUUAUGACAAGAUAUGAUCAUUAUGACUAAAGAAACAACUCUACUUAACUAUCCAUCACCGCUGUUGCUUAGUUGAGCUCAAAACAAGUGGAAGAGUUAUGCUUUUUCCUUUGCAAGUUAACCCAAACAUUAACGCAAAUCAUUGAGAUUAAUGAUUUAUUCUGGCUUUGGAUAAUGCACGAACAGCGUAAUUAAUUUUUCUUGUCUGUGCAGAUAUGCCCAGUAUGGCGAUGUCUCUCCUAAAGUUGAUGUGUACGCUUUCGGUGUGGUCCUUUAUGAACUUAUUUCUGCCAAGGAGGCUAUAGUCAAGGCAAAUGGUUCUGUUGCUGACUCAAGGGGCCUCGUUGCUUUGGUUAUUCUCUUUCCCUUGUUCUAUUUUACAGCUGGUUAAUAGUAAUCAGAAACUUUUGCUCCAAAAUGUUCAAUAUAGGUUUAGAACUUUAUCUUUAGCUUGAACAAGCAAAUUAUAUCUGGAAUCUAUUAUUUUAACUUUUACUUUGCUGCCAGUUUCAUGUGAAUUAGCGAGGAGCUUUUUCUACACUUUUGUGGACACAUAUAAUGAUAGUGAUUUGCCUCCUUGUAUGCUUUUGCAAUUCAUGGAUUGCUUCUGGCAAAAUUAUCAUAAUUGAUUGCUUUAAUCUCAUCGUCUGCAGUUUGAAGAGGUUCUUGACCAACCCGAUCCCAGAGCGGACCUUCGCAAGCUUGUUGACCCUAAGCUUGGAGAUAAUUAUCCGCUUGAUUCCGUCUGGAAGGUGAGGGGGUGUCCUGAGAGAAUCAUUCUGCCAUUUAUGUUUUCCUUUCUGGGUAAAUCGACAUUAUAACUGCUGAGUUUUCUA
rnacentral:lncRNA from 1 species